AUGGAAAGCAAAAGCCCACCAGAACCUUGUUGUUUGAAGCUCUUUAAACCACUUCUCCUGUUACUGCUGACUGACGAGUGACAGAGGUUGAGACUUUACAGCACCAGCCUAUGUUUGCCUGAGGAGGAGAUUUGUCUGCGUGGGGCCAGUGGCGAACAGACCUAACAGUAGCUAACCUGCUUGGGACAAGGGCUUAGACUCCCAACUCUGCCACUUCCAAGUUAUGUGACAUUAGUUAAGCUUGCUCUGUGCCUCAGUGUUUUCAUCAGUAAAAUGGGGAGAAUAAUGGCACCGGCCUUGCCGUGCUUUUAUAAAGACUGGAAAUACAGUGAAAACACUUCUCACUGCCUAGCCAGCCUCCCGAGACGUGCCGACUGCUGUCACACACGUGAAUCAAUAUUUCUGUCCACGAGAAAGCUUGCGUAUAACUGUCAUCCCUGGAGACCGUACUGCCUGGUGACUUGUCUGUGGAAGUGUGUUCCCCUGAGGAUGAAACCGUCAAAGACCUUCUCCUCAGGAUGCGUCCCUGCUGUUAAGCGACACAUGACUCCGCCACAAGGUCCACCUAGGUCUCUGCUCAUCUUUGCUCUGUAAUUCAUUAGGAGAUGGGCUCCUUGCCAUAGCAAUUCUUUGUGCACUCUUGGGGCCAGCAGUAUGGAGCGGAAACCAUGAAUGAGCCACCUACUAAUGGCCAGAACGGUCACAACGUCUGUGAACCAGUCUCCUGGGAAUCUCCGCCAUGCGUGUUGUGAGCAAACGCGGAGGGCUUACAUUAUAUUCUAAAUCCAUUUGUAAUUAUAAGUGAGAAUGACCGGGGCAAUCUGUUUUGUUUCUCUGUGAUUUUUCUAGACCCAGAGCAUGAUAGUUUGUAGAAGCUCAGCCCAGGGAGUGGCACUAUUAGAAGGUGUGGCCCUGUUGGAGUGGGUGUGUCACUGUGGGCGUGGGCAAAAAGACCCUCACCCUAGCUUCCUGGAAGUCAGACUUCCACUAGGAGCCUUCAGAUGAAGAUGUAGAACUCCCAGCUUCUCUUACACCAUGCCUGUCUGGAUGCUGCCGUGCUCCUGCCUUGAUGAUGAUGGACUGAACCUCUGAACCUGUAAUCCAGCCCCAACUGAAUGUUGUCUUUAUAAGACUUGCAUUGGUUAUGGUGUCUGUUCACAGCAAUAAGACCAUAACUAAGAUACCAGAGAUACAGAUCACCAUGGGGAGCUGGAAAAAGAGCCAACAAAUAGGUCCCUGGUCCCAAGAUGAAACUUAUACUGCAUCCUAAGUUCUGACUGCCACAAGAGUCAGGUGACCUGGUAUCAAUCACAUUAAGAGUCUGUGAUGACUUCCCCUAAUCAGCAGACACCAGCAACAUCAUCAAACCUACAAGGUCUCCAGCCGAAGACGUGGCCCAGAUCAAAGCUGUAUACCGCCACGCCUGGAUCCGGGACGUGCUUUGUCCCAGGCUGACUUUGAACUCAG
ensembl:lncRNA